CUUUUACUCGGAAGACUUCGCUGAACACAAAUAUUAGUGUUUCAAACCGUACAAUAUUUUUUUUUGCAUUUUUUUCACACACAAAUGGCACUUACACUGACAAUAUAAUUGUGAUGCGUUUUACUGUUUUGAAACACUAAUAUUUGUUUUCAGCGAAGUCUGCCAGGUAUAAC